CUCAAGUUCCUAUUGUUACCUUCUCGGCCACAAGUCCUUCUCUCUCAUCACUUCGGAGUCCUUAUUUCAUCCGGGCUACUCUAAAAGACUCUUCACAAGUAGGCGCUAUAGUUGCAAUCAUUCAAGCGUUUGGGUGGAGAGAAGUUGUGCCCGUUUACGAGGAUAAUGAAUUUGGGGAAGGGAUUCUACCAUUUUUGACUGAUGCACUGGAAAAGGUAAAUGUGCGCGUACCUUACAGAAGUGUCAUUCCACCAUUAGCAACGGAUGAUCAAAUUGCUGCGGAGCUUUACAAGCUGAUGACGAUGCAAACUAGAGUUUUCGUCGUCCACGUGCUGAACCCUCUUGCUUCUCGCCUGUUCACCAAGGCGAAAGAAAUAGGAAUGAUGAGUCAAGAUUAUGCAUGGAUAAUAACAGAUAGCAUCACAAACGAUUUAAAUUCAAUGAACCCUUCUGUCAUAGCAUCCAUGCUAGGAGUAAUAGGAGUAAGACCUUAUGUCCCAAAGACCAAAGAGCUGGAUGACUUUGCAAUUCGAUACAAGCAAAGGGUUCGGCAGAGCCGUCCAAAAGCUCCUACUCCCGAUGUCGACAUUUAUCGGUUAUGGGCUUAUGACUCGGCCACUGCACUAGCCAUGGCAGUAGAAGAAGCACUGCCAGAAAAUCCUGAAUAUCGAGAGGCAAAUGUGUCAAGAAAUUCUACAGAUCUUGAAGCCUUUGGAGUAUCAUUAAGUGGACCAGAGCUGAUUCAGGCUUUAUCAAGUGUUACAUUUACGGGCCUUGCUGGAAACUUUCGCUUAGUUGAUGGCCAACUCCAAGCACCUCCUUAUCAGAUCGUCAAUAUCGAUGGUCCUCGAGCUAGCAGCAUAGGGUAUUGGACAAAAGAGAAUGGACUUGUCAAAGAACUGAACUUCGAAAGUUCAAAUACAAAUAAAUAUUCUACUUCCAGAUCCAACCUUGGAUCCAUUGUAUGGCCAGGCGACAAAUCAUCUCCGCCUAAAGGUUGGGUGAUUCCAACCUGGUUUCCCUUCUCCACCAUGGUAUUUGCUCAUAGUAAGACCCCUUUCAUCUUUUAAACCAUAUUCCUUUUCGCCAAAUGUUAUAUACCAAACUUUAAAAUCUCCUUAAUUUACGGUUACGCGAUAAAAUUAACAAUUUUUUUUCUGACCAUCUGCCGUUUAUUUUUCGGUAGAGGAGAAGGUUGCAAGCAACUGGGGCAGGUCCCUGCUGAUCAUAUGGUUUUUUCUGGUACUUAUACUAACCCAAAGCUAUACCGCCAGUCUUACAUCCAUGUUAACAGUCCAGAAGCUGCAGCCAACAGUUACCGAAGUUAGUGAGCUUAUUAAAAAUAAGGAAUAUGUAGGCUACUCGAAUCCGUCGUUUGUUUUCGGACUACUCAAAGAAAUGGGUAUCGAUGCGUCGCGACUUCGGCCAUUCAACUCAGCCGAGGAAAUGGACGAACUUCUCUCCAAAGGGAGUCGAAAUGGUGGAAUAGCUGCCGCCUUUCAUGAGAUCCCAUAUAUAAAGUUGUUUCGAGGAAAAUACUGUUCAAAAUACAUGAUGGUCGGACCCACGUAUAAGGCUGAUGGUUUUGGCUUUGUACGGACCCUCCUUUGAAGUAUAUCUACGCAUGUAUAUUAUUUUUCGCUUUAAUCGUUCUAAAGGCUCUCUUUUUCUUCUUUGCAGGUCUUCCCAAUAGGUUCUCCUCUAGUACCUGACGUUUCAAGAGCAAUUUUGAAUGUGACAGAAGGCCGAAAGAUGGUGGAAAUCGAGAGGAAAUGGUUCGGAGAUAAGACCACAUGUUCAGACUCUGACACUGUGCUUUCAUCAAAAAGUCUUGAGCUAGAAAGCUUCAUGGUACUCUUCUCAGCUGUAGGAGCGGUUGGAUUUGGAGCCCUUACGCACUAUGUGUUUAAAUUCCUUUAUGACAAUUGGGAUGUCGUCAAAGGGGAGGACGCUCCAUCCAAAUUGCUAAGAUUGCUGCGUAUUUUCCUGUCUAAGAAAGAAAACAACAGCCAAGAGAUCGAGCUUGUUGAUCCGCAUGAAAACUAGUGAUGAACAUAAAUGUUGGCACUUGCGAUUCGUUUACCUCAAAGAAAGAUUGAUGCCCGUCGCUUAACUGAGAAAGGUGGUGGUGUAAUUUUUAAAAUCUGAUUCCAAAUGUUUCGUGUCAAAUUUCCUUACAAAUUCUUUUUUUCUGGAAACAUUGUCUUGGGAUUAAGUUCUCUAUUGGGAAUGUCAAAUGUUUUAAUGUCCUUGGAAAGUUCUAACCACAAUUCCUUCACAUCAAAUUAUAUUUGGAUUCGUCUACAUUUUAGCUUAUGUUAAAUGCCUAUAUCUUCAAAAGCUCGGGCUAAUAAACAAAACUAGCAUUGAUAAAAUACCGAAAAAUUUGAUUAUGUAGAUAACGGGAACUCCGAUAGAGGGUCGUCAAGGAAGCAUCACAAAGCUAGAUACUUCACCUUAGUACGAGAAAAGAAGGUUAAGCAAAUAAGGUAAUAUGAGAUGCAGAUAGAUUCCAAAAAGCUCAUAUUCUUGUAGGCAUUUCAACAAACAUGUAAUAGGCAUCCACAUAAUCCUACAUCAUCGUACAGAUCUACCAACACAAACAAAACAUUAACAACAACGCAAAGCAAAACUUACCAAUCCUUUCUGUGACGAACAACUCCGAUUCUCUCGUUCUUCUUCUCUCCUAAGCACUCCGAGGUUAACUGUCAAUGUUUGAUUCUCUCCACACUCUUCAGCUGCAUUGCCAUUCUCGAACUUGAUUGAUUCUUUUCCGGCGCAUUGGAAUUAGCAUAAUUGAACUCAGUUUCACCAUCUUAUUUAUAAUGAUUUAUUUGGGAAAAAUAUAGUUUUUUUCUUUUCAUAUUUGGUCCCUUAUGUUUAUAAAAAACACAUUUAGUCCCUUAUGUUUCAAAAAUUCAACACUUUUAGUUAUUUCCGUCAAUUUUUCGUUAAAACUAACGGAAUCAAGCGUGUUCCGUGACUUGCUUAACUAACAAACUAACGGUAAAUUGAUGGAAAUGAUCAAAAAUAUUAAUUAUUGAAACAUGAGGGACCAAAUGUGUUUAUUUUUUUGUAAACAUGAGGAACCAAAUGUGGAAUCGAUGCAAACUUAAGGGGUCAAAACUGUAAUUUUUCCAAUUUAUUUUUAUCACUACACCAAAUCUGUAAUCAAUAUUGUUCGCCGUAGUUAGUUUGAAAUAUUUGCAAUUGUAAUAAAAUAUAUUUUCAAUAUUUUGAGCCAAAUCAGUUACAUUUAUAAAGCAAUGAAUCUUUGAAAGUUAAAUUCAACCACAAAAGUUGUUAAAACAUAAUGAAUCUUUGAUUCCAGUUUUGUCACCCGUGAAAUACAUUGGAUGAUUCUUGGAUGAUUCUGCACCAUUGAUCUGAACAUAAUAACACACAUACCAAUGUGUUUGUGUGUUUAAUGGAUAGUUAUUUGUAUAAAUUUAUGAUGCAAAUUCACCUAGUAUUUUUUACCAAAUGUAGCAUCUCAUAAACCCUAAUUACCUCGUAUAUAUUUAAAAUUUCAACCGAGUCCGAAUUCUUUUGUAAUAAGUCAAACCUCAAGAAUGAAUAAAUGAUUUAUAAUUAUAGUCAAAACUUCUAAAAACAAGCAUUCAUAAAAAUUUAAAACAGCAACCAAUGUUGGAUGGCUCGUUGACUUUACAAAAGUAAACUCUUAAACUCUCCUAAGAAACUUCAAAAUACAAUAUAUUAAUACAAUGAGGACAGCUCAUUUUGGAUGUAACAGUUCAAAUUCAAACAUCCAAAACAUAGUGCCCUGUAUAUGCAUAUUUUUUGAGUAAUCAAAUAAAUCAUCAUCACAAAAAGAAAAAAGAAAAAAAUUAAUAAUAAUAAUAAAUAAAGCCCCAAAUUUAGCAAAAAGAAAUGGAGAAGAUCAAAACCUGCAGAUAUGCCAUUUUGUAUCUCUUCUUUUAUUUAUGUGCCGUGAUUUUCUCGACAAAAAUGGCAGCGGCACAGAACAUCUCCGUAAGAGUAGGAGUGGUGCUAGACAUGGAUGAGUAUGGAAAGAUGGCAUUCAACUGCACAUCAAUGGCGCUCUCUGAUUUCUACGCUACACACGGUCAUUAUAAAACGAGGCUCGUUCUCAUCAACCGUGACUCCAGAGAAGGCGUAAUUGGUGCAGCUGCAGCAGGUACGAUAUUGAAGGAUAAUUUUGUCCUUUUUUACGUAGGGUAAACUGUAAACCGACUAUUUCCUUCACCAUGUGACAUCUGUCGACAACUUUCAUUCCUAACGAGAAAUCCAGAUUUAGAGUAUUUUUUUCCCAAGAUGAGAAAUACACUAAUCGGUCAUCGAUUUUUUACAUCUUAAUUUCAAUAUAAAAACGUAUAGCUUUUUAUCUAAUAAAUGAAGGAUCAAAUGAUGAAUGUUAUGUUGCACAUGAAAUGCAGGUUUGGACCUGCUGAAGAAUGUUGAAGUGCAAGCCAUCAUCGGUCCCAUGUACUCGGUACAGGCUAAUUUCCUUAUUUCUCUUGGACAGAAAGCUCAAGUUCCUAUAGUUACCUUCUCGGCCACAAGUCCUUCUCUUUCAUCACUGAGGAGUCCUUAUUUCGUUCGGGCUACUCUAAACGACUCUACGCAAGUAAACCCCAUCGUUGCAAUUAUUCAAGCCUUUGGAUGGAAAGAAGCUGUGCCAAUCUACGAGGAUAACGAAUUCGGAGAAGGGAUUGUACCGUUUUUAACCGAUGCCUUAGAGCAGGUAAAUGCGCGCGUACCUUACAGGAGUGUCAUCCCAUCAACAGCGACAGACGAGCAAAUCGUCGCAGAGCUUUCCAAGCUGAAGACUAUGCAAACAAGAGUAUUCAUCGUGCACAUGUUGAGCAGCCUCGGUUCUCUCCUGUUCGCCAAAGCAGCACAACUAGGAAUGAUGAGUAAAGAUUACGCAUGGAUAAUAACAGACAGCAUCACAAACGAAUUAAAUUCAAUGGAUCCUUCUGUCCUAGCAUCCAUGCUAGGAGUAAUAGGAGUAAAGCCUUAUAUUCCACAGACAAAAGAGCUGGACGACUUUGCAAUUCGAUACAAAAACAUGACUCUGCAGAGCAAUCCAAAAGCUCUAAAUCUGGACAUAUAUGGUAUAUGGGCUUAUGACUCGGCUCUUGCACUAGCCAUGGCAGUUGAAAAAGCAGGGUUAUCAAAUCUUACAUAUCAAAAGACAAACACGUCGACAAAUUCUACUGAUCUUGAAGCCUUUGGGGUAUCGUUAAGUGGACCAAAGCUAAUUCAGGCUUUAUCGAGUACCACAUUUAGAGGCCUUGCUGGAAACUUCCAAUUAGUCGAUGGUCAACUCCAAGCACCUCCUUAUGAAAUAGUCAACAUUGUUGCUCAUGGAGUUAGUGGCAUAGGAUAUUGGACAAAAGAGAAUGGAAUUGUAAACAAACUAAAGUUCACUAGUUCAAGCACAAGCGCAUAUUCAACUUCCAAAGACAACCUCGGAUCUAUUACAUGGCCAGGCAACGAAUCAUCUCCACCUAAAGGUUGGGCAGUUCCGACAAAAACCAAGAAACUGAGAGUAGGAGUGCCUGUAAAGGCUGGUUUCACCGAAUUCGUGCGUGUUACGUGGAAUUCGGACAAUACUACUAAAGUGGAAGGAUACUGCAUAGAUGUUUUUGAUGCGGUGAUGGCAGCACUACCAUAUGAUGUGCCGUAUGAAUACAUUCCAUUUGCAACACCUGAUCGCAAGAUGGCUGGAGUUUACAAUGAUUUGGUCUAUGAAGUGUACCUCGGAGUAAGUUCUUCUUUCUUUCCUACAAAAUUAAAAACCAAAUACAUUUUUAUCAACACAGAAGAUGCAGUAUGCUGUGCCUGAACGUUUUUUUUUUUUUUUUUUUUUUUUUUUUUUUUUUUUUUUGUUUUCGCUUAUUAAUGAACAGAACUAUGACGCAGUAGCUGGAGACGUAACAAUUCUCGGAAAUAGGUCUCAGUAUGUCGACUUCACCCUGCCUUACAGAGAGUCUGGUGUUUCGAUGGUUGUACCGAUCCCAGAAGAUAAGAAGGGAAAUACAUGGCUAUUGGUGAAGCCGUUGACUUGGGAACUGUGGUCGACAAUCUUUGUCUCCUUUGUUUUAUUCGGGAUUUUGGUUUGGUUUCUUGAACGCCCAAGAAAUAGAGAUUUCAGAGGGACUGGUUGGGAUCAAUUUUGCAUGAUAUUCUGGUUUUCCUUCUCCACCAUGUUCUUUGCCCACAGUAAGCCACCUUUCAUCAUUUAAAUUACAUUUAGUCAUUUUGCCAAAUGUUACACUAAAGCAAAAUAUAGAGUAUAAUCAUCUAGUCAGAUGUUGAGGAUUAAACCUACUUAACUAACGGAGCAUAGAAAAGGUAAUAAAAUAAGAAGUUAUUUCUGACCUUUCGGCAUUGAAUUUUUUUUUUUGGUAGAGGAGAGGGUGGUAAGCAACUCCGCAAAGGUAGUGGUGAUUGUAUGGCUCUUGGCGGUAUUUAUAUUAACCCAAGGCUAUGCUUCGAGUCUCACAUCCAUGUUAACAGUCCAGAAACUGACAGAUACUGAUGUUAACGAGCUUAUUCGAAACAAGGAAUAUGUGGGCUACUCCAAUACCUCUUUUGUAUACGAAUUUCUGAAAAAACGUUUCGAUAAGUCGCAACUUCGGCCGUUCAAGUCAGCGGAGGAAAUGGAUCAACUUCUCUCCAAAGGGAGUGCAAACGGUGGAAUUGCUGCUGCCUUUCACGAGAUUCCAUACUUAAAUCUGUUUAUAGCAAAAUACCGUUCAAAAUACAUGAUGGUCGGACCCACAUAUAAGGCUGCUGGUUUCGGAUUUGUAUGUGACUCCCUUGACUACAUAUACGUUUCCAUUUUGCGUUGUCGUCUUUUUUUCUUUCUAGACUCUACUUCUCUCUUCUUUUCUGCAGGUCUUCCCAAUAGAUUCUCCUCUAGUACCUCAUGUUUCGAGGAAAAUUCUGAGUGUGACCGAGGGCCAGACGAUGGUGGAGAUUGAGAAGAAGUGGUUGGGAGGUGAGGCCAAACGGCCGGACACUAACACCAAAAGUCUCGGCCUAUCAAGCUUCAGGGUGGUCUUUAUUAUUGUCGGAGCAACCGGACUUGCAGCGAUUAUAAGUUAUAUGAUUAUGUUCGGAUAUGGAACUCAUGUCCACAGUGACGAACCCACAAUCGAGAGACAGAUUUAUGAGUUAUGUGAGUUACUCAAGCGUUGCGAGGAAAGAGACCAACAAAUAAAUAAUCCUGGGAAUCGGAAUGGAAACUAGUGAACCACCAAAAUGCUGUCACAUACAGGUUUUUCGUCGUUGUGAGGAGGUUGUAUCCUAAUUUGUAAAUCUCAUUCUACGUGUUUCAUCGUUUUUCCCCCCACUUUAAAUUGUAUUUGUUGAAAUAAUAAUGUCUUGGGAUUAAAUUCUCUUCUGAGAAUAUCUUCUUGGGACUUCAAUCAGCCACAACUCUUAAGUUAUCUCAAGAUUACAAGCACUCCCUAACAAAGUUCAAAUAUUUCUCUCUUAAUCUUUAAGAUAUAUAUAUUUAACUUGAAAGUUCAACAUAAAAAUAGUUUCUUCUUUUGUAAGUAAGUAAACCUUAAGAAUAUAUUUCAUACUUUAGACGACAUGUAUUCCUGGAUAAGAAACCCGGUGCUUUUAGUUCAAGUCCGGGAUACGAAGCCCGUAUUGUCUAAAAUUUAAAAUUAAAUAUUUAAAUUCAAUUUCACGGUUUAAGAGAAAAAGGCAUAAUUCUGGGCUUUGUAGCCCGUAGCGUAGUUCGGGCUACAAAGUCCGGAAUUAUGAACUUCACUCUGGAUUACGAAAUCCCGAGCCUUCAAAAUCUAUUUAGAUAUACCCUAUUAAAAUUUGCAAGUAGAAUGAGUAGAGAAAAGAAUGACAACUAGAAUGAGUCAAUUACAGUAAUAUCCAAUGACCUAGGACUUAUUUACAUUCUUCUUCUUGGCUAAGUCAAUUACAGUAAUAUCCAAUGGUUUAUUUAUUAUUAUUAUUAUUAUUUUUUAAUCCAAAUACCGUUUUAAAUACACACUCAAACAGAUUUGAACCCCAUCUUCUUGACACCCCACACUGAGAGAAACCACAAUACCAACCUAAGUUAAACCUUGAUCGACAAUAAAAAGUUACCAUAAACGUUAACUUUACAAAUUCGCCAAUCGGGUGCAAGAAUUGUUGGUGUUGAAACUUGAAACUCAUCGGUGUUUUAUAAUUGUAUUCUAGAAUAAACUACAGAAAUUACUUAAGACUUGUGCUAUUUGUAAAAAUAAAAUAAAUAACCAUAUAACUUUUCAGGUCAACUAAGAAAGUAUCAGCCCUUUUUUUUUCAUCUAGUUGCAUGCAUGUUGGAUGGUUCAUUGACUUUUAAAAAGUAAACUCCAUGAUUCUUUCAGCAAACUGUAUUACAUAUAUUUUAGCUGAUGUGACAGUUCAUGUUCAAACAUCCAAACAAUGUUAACCAAAGAAUGAUCCCAUUCUCUCGAAUCUCAAACACGCAAAAUUUUGCCAAAAAGAUAUGGAGAAGAAAAAUACCUGCAACGAUAAUCCCAUUUUGUGUAUCUUCUUUUACUUACUGAUCACUUUAAAUAUUUUCUCCACAAAAACAGCAACGGCCCAAAUCAUCCGUGUAAAAGUCGGAGUUGUGUUAGACAUGGAUGCAUUUGGACGGAUGACAUUCACGUGCAUAUCAAUGGCCCUCUCGGAAUUUUAUGUUACAAAUGACAAAUAUAGAACGAAGCUGAGUCUCACCAGUCGGGACUCUAAAAACGACGUCGUUGGGGCAGCUGCAGCAGGUACAUCAAAGCCUAAAAAAUACACACCCACACACACUCAGGAAAUUAGGAGGAAGAAAUAGAAAGAAAAAAAGAUUAUGCACUUAACCAACUCGUACCGUAAGAUGUUUAUUUGUCAAAUGCUCUAGGAUGAUGAAUUUUUCUUUGCCUUCAAACUUCAUUUCUUUUGCUAGCCUUUUUCAUAUAUUAUUUCCUUCAAGUAGGGCCGAACUGCAAAACAAAUCCGUUGGUCAUAAUUUUCUUAUGCAACCAUUUUCUGUUGCGAUGAUGAGUAGCACAUCAACAGCCAUCGCCUUUGUCUUAUCUUAAAAUUUCGAAUUAAUAUAUAUAUAUAUAUAUAUAUAUAUAUAUAUAUAGAUAUAUAUAUAUAUUAGGAUAAAAAGAUAAUCAGACCUAACCUGAUAAGAGGUUUAUUUAAUUUACAUAAUUCUCUGGUUUUCUUAUUCUUGUUAUGAGGUCUACCAUAUCAAACAAUGGGUCAAUACUCAAUAGCUUUAUCUUGUCUGGAAAAUGUAGACUAUUCAAUAAACUAGUUCGAAAUUCAGAAAUUUUAGAAUAUUAGCAAUUUAGCUCGUUCGAUAGAUAAGUACAUUUAUAAAAACGUUCGAUAGAUAAGUACAUUUAUAACAGUAACAUUGUACUAUAUCGUCAGUAUCUUGCAUAGGUUCAACAGAACAAAUGUUUAUCGGCUAGAUAUCAUAGAGACAAAACAGAGUCUGAAUUAUCUGUUCCUCAAAGGUCAGUUUGCUUAAGCAAGUGCUAGUUAUACAUAUUUUUCGCAAUAAAAGCUAUAAACUAGUCCUAAAUGUAUAGGCGUGAUCUGUUUUAAAGAAAUUUUAAGCCCAAAAAAUUUGAAUUUUCAACAGGUGCGGAGAAACAUUGAAAUAUUAAAUUGACUAAAUAUUCACUCUCAAGAUGGACGUAUCUAGUACUAUUCAGUUUUCUUUCCAACAAAUGAGAUUCUAUACCAGGAAAAUUUGUAUUAAAAUAGUAGUUAAAAUAUUACCUUAUACUGGGAGAAGUGCAAACCGUUCAAGAUGCACAUUACUAAUUGUAACAGUCAACUGAAUGAUUUCUUGCUCAUGAAAUGCAGGUCUGGACCUACUGAAGAAUGUUGAAGUGCAAGCCAUCAUCGGUCCCGUGUACUCAAGUCAGGCUAACUUCCUUAUUUCUCUUGGACUCAAAGCUAAAGUUCCCAUCAUUACUUUCUCAGCCACGAGUCCUUCUCUUUCAUCGCUUCGUAGUCCAUAUUUCAUUCAGGCUACUCUAAAAGACUCUUCACAAGUAGGCGCAAUCGUUGCAAUCAUUCAAGCCUUUGGAUGGAGAGAAGUUGUAACCAUUUACGAGAAUACUGAAUUUGGAGAAGGGAUUAUACCAUUUUUAACCGAUGCCUUAGAAAAGGUAAAAGUGCGUGUACCGUACAGGAGUGUCAUUCAAACUUCAGCAACAGAUGAUCAGAUCCUCGCAGAGCUUUACAAGUUGAUGGCUAUGCAAACCAGAGUUUUCAUCGUCCACAUGUUGAACCCUCUUGCUUCUCGCCUGUUCACCAAAGUGGAACAACUAGGGAUGAUGAGUAAAGAUUAUGCAUGGAUAAUAACAGAUAGCAUCACAAACGAUUUAAAUUCAAUGAACCCUUCUGUCAUAGCAUCCAUGCUAGGAGUAAUAGGAGUAAAACCUUAUGUUCCAAAUACAAAGGAACUGGAUGACUUUAUAACUCGAUACAAGAAAAGGGUUCUGCAAAGCAAUCGAAAAGCCCUUGGCGUGGACAUUUACGGGCUAUGGGCUUACGACUCGGCCAUAGCACUAGCCAUGGCAGCAGAAACUGCAGGACUAAAAAAUCUUACAUAUCAAGAAACGAACACAUCAACAAAUUCUACGGAUCUUGAAGCCAUUGGAGUAUCAAUAAGUGGACCAGAGCUCAUUCAGGCUUUAUCAAAUAUCACAUUUAGGGGCCUUGCUGGAGAUUUUCGAUUGGUCGAUGGCCAACUCCAAGCGCCUCCAUAUGAGAUAGUCAAUAUGGUUGGUCCUGGAGCUAGAGGCAUAGGAUAUUGGACAAAAGAGAACGGAAUCAUCAACAAACUGAACUUCACUAGUUCAAGCACAAAUGAAUAUUCCACUUCCAAGUCCAACCUUGGGCCUACUAUAUGGCCAGGCGACGAAUCAUUUCCACCUAAAGGUUGGGUGGUUCCUACAAGAGGGAAGAAAUUGAAGGUAGGAGUACCCGUAAAGGAUGGUUUCACAGAUUUCGUUCGUGUAACUUGGAAUUCCGACAAUUCUACAACAGUGGAAGGAUACUGCAUAGAUGUUUUUGAUGCUGUGAUGGCAGCACUGCCAUAUGGUGUGCCGUAUGAAUACAUUCCAUUUGCAACAACUGAUCACAAGAUGGCUGGUGAUUACAAUGCGCUGACCCAGCAAGUGUACCUUGGAGUAAGUAUCUUCUUUAUUACAAUGAAUUUAAAAAUCAAACACAUUUUUUUAUCAACAUAGAGCAAGAUGGUACAGCUGACCUUUUCUCUAAUCAAUCAACAGAAUUAUGACGCUGUGGCUGGGGAUGUAACAAUUCUAGCAAAUAGGUCACAGUACGUCGACUUCACUUUGCCGUAUACUGAGUCUGGUGUUUCAAUGGUCGUACCAAUCCAACACGAUAAGAGCAAAAAUACAUGGCUUGUUUUUAAGCCACUGACUAGGGAGCUGUGGUUCACAACCUUUUUCUCUUGUGUUGCAAUUGGGUGUCUGGUUUGGUUUCUUGAACGUGAUGUAAAUACAGAAUUCAGCGGGUCUCCUUUGCAUGAAUUUGGCAUGAUAUUCUGGUUCGCCUUCUCCACCAUGGUCUUUGCUCACAGUAAGCCACCUUUCAUCUUUUAACUACAGUCAUUUUUGCCAAAUGUUACACUAGAGCAAAUCUAAGGCCGUGUUUUGGCAAUUGAUAAUAUUGUAAACAUCUAAACUGAUAUUGAAUGUUAAUAAAAACAAGAAGUUGUUUCUGACCAUUUGGCAUUGAAUUUUUUGGUAGGGGAGAGGGUGAUAAGCAACUGCGCCAGGUUUCUGCUGAUCAUAUGGCUCUUGGCAGUAUUUGUAUUAACCCAAAGCUACUCCGCCAGUCUUACAUCCAUAUUAACAAUCCAGAAGGUGGAGCCAGCAGUUACUGAUAUUAAUGAGCUCAUAAGAAACAAGGAAUAUGUAGGCUACUCGAACACAUCAUUUGUUUUUGGAUUUCUCAAGAAAAUGGAAUUUGAUGCAUCUCGACUUCGGUCAUUCAAGUCAGCGGAGGAAAUGGAUGAACUUCUCUCCAAAGGGAGUGCAAAUGGUGGAAUAGCAGCUGCCUUUCAUGAGAUCCCGUACAUAAAGCUGUUUCUAGGCAAAUACUGUUCAAAAUACAUGAUGGCCGGGCCCACGUACAAGGCUGAAGGUUUUGGAUUCGUAUGUGACCCUCCUCAUCACCUACUUUCAAGUGUAUCUAUCACAUAUAUUUUUUUUUCAUUCUAUGUUGUCGUUUUCUGUACUUUUAAUAAAAUAUCUCUCUUCUUUGCUGCAGGUCUUCCCAAUAGAUUCUCCUCUAGUACCUGAUGUUUCACGAGAAAUUUUGAAUGUGGCGGAGGGCCAGAAGAUGGUCGAGAUUGAGACGACGUGGUUGGGAGAUAAGACCAAAUGUCCAGACCUUAACAGCUUACUUCCACCUAAGAGUCUUGGCCUUUCAAGCUUCAGGGGACUCUUUAUUAUGGUAGGAAUAGCUGGAGUUUUAGCACUUAUAUUUAGAUUCUUCAGUAAAAAACCGCAAUUCCCUGGUGAUGAACUCACAGCGCAGAGCCAGAGAGAUGAAUUACAUCGGUUACUGAACAGGAGGUACGAGGUAGGAGGUGGUCAACAAGGCAAUGUACCUGAGAAUCCAAAUGAACUGCCCGCAAUUCGGGCACAUUUACAUGAACAUGAGUUACAUGAGUUACCGAUGAGGUUCAAUAAUAGAGAUGAACAAGGCAAUUAGUCUAAGAAUCUGAAUUAAAGCGAGUGAAUCACCUAAUUUGUAAUUUUUUGCUUCCACUAUGAUUGUGAUAUAUUGGUACUCUUUGUUGGAUCCUCCGUGACACUUUGUAAGCUGUAACCGAACUUUUAGUAUGAAGAUGUGAUACUAAGAAGGGUGUUCCAAAUCGUGAGGUAAAAACUCAAAUCUUGCUAUCUUAGAAAAUUCUACUCCCCCUUUCCACAAUCCUACUACAGUUCAUCCUCGUCAACAUAUUUGGAUUGUUCUACAUUUUGCUUUUGCUGUAGCAAGAUAGUCAUCGCCACUUUAAAUGUGUAUAACUUCACAAGUGCAAUAGCAGAUGUAUGCUACCUUUCAAUUUCUGAUAUGGGCUACAAAUCACUAGCUUUGAUUAAAAUAUCAUUACAAAGAAGGAAAAAAAAAUGAACUCUGUUAAAGGGACAUCAAGGAAACAUAAAAAAAGCUAGAGGUGUUAUUGUAAAUCAUAAAUCAGUUGCUACAUGUUUCAUUUUCUUUUCCUUGAUUUCUCUUCUUAGGACUUGCACCAGCAAGUUCUCUUCUGUUUCAUUUCAUGUUCGAACCUUUGUACUCUACUGUAAUUAUGACAUAUAAAUUGGAAUUCUGUGUUGGUUAUCUAUACACAUCUAAAAGUCGUCCCGGUUUAAAUUUUAGUUUAGGUCCUUCAGUAGUCAAACUUUUAGUAUGAGGGUAUACCUAAAGAGUGUGUCCAAAUGACCUAAAAUCAUGUCGUAGAACUCACAUUUGGCUGUCUUAUAAACUUCUAUUCACCGCUUCCACAGUCCCACUAGAAUUCCUCCUCGUUAAAGUGUUUACUAAGGGAUGCCAUUCACUAGAGAUCAUACAUAUUCUUUUAGGCAUUUCAACAAACAUGAAAUAGGCAUCAACACCAACAUUAACAAAAAAAAAAAACACAGAAUACCCCCUCAAACAAUAGUUUCUACAAUUGACCCCAAAAAAUAAACUGACACAUAAAUAGAACACAUUUUGUUAUAAGGAUUCCCAAUCAGGAUUAGGUCAGAUAUACUUGGUGUUGAACGAAUCCAAAGUGGUUGAUAUAAAUAGAAGAAAAAAAAACAUAUACAGCAAGUGGUAAUAUUAAAGCAAAAUGAGAGAGCGUUUACCUGAGUAAGAUUAACAGUCUCGAUCAUCCCCAUGGCCAGAGGCGUAGACGUGUCUGGCCGAGGUCUCUUUCACACUCUUCUUCUUCUUCUUCGCCCAGUCAAGUCAAUAUAAGAAAAUGAUCGAUAAAACCAAAUGUCCAGAUUCUAGUACUUUGUUCUCGUCCAACAGUAUCGGUUUAGAGAGCUUUUGGGGGCUGUUCUUGAUAGUGGGAAUUGCUGCAGCUUCAGCAUUGAUAAUCUACGCGAUCAAAUUCCUACGCGAAAAAUAGAGAUAGAGAGAGUGGCUGUGGAGGUGAUUGCGUGAAGUGAGCAGCAGAAUCAUCUAACGAACAUGAUUUUCGAUUUAGUCCGUCGACUUUUUCAGUGGCCUCUCCGUGUACUAAUGGCCCGACUUCUCGAGCCCAAAUGCGCAGAAUGUAGAUUUUCGAGCUAUGCAGCAAGAAAUCGAACUUGUCAAUCCGAAUCAAAACGAGCAAUUGUCAUCAACAACGGUGGACUUGGCGCAUGAAGUUCACUAAGUGUGGUAGCUUUAUCUUUCAUCUCAAUCAGAUAGGGGUAAGAUGACAUCUUGUAAUUUCAUUUCCAUUGUAGAAGAGUACUCUCAUCUAACAUUUCAAGAAGAAUAAAAGAAAAAAAGAUCUCGAUUAGUGUCUUGUUCCAAGAUAGUUCCUUAGGAGCUUUAAUGCCUGAAAUUUUGAUUUGCGAUAACACAUCAUUAGCAUUAAAACUAGCAUUGAUACAAUAUCGAAAAAAAUGUAAUUGUGUAGAAAUUCGGAGAAGGGCUGUUUAGGAAAAAUCACAAAGCUACAGAUUUCACCUUAAGUACGAGCUAAUAGAGGAAAAGAGAUGCAUGACUUGAGUAUGACAAUGGAAGAAUGCAGGCAAUUUCUAAGAGUUAAUAUUCUUGUAGGCAUUUCAACAAACAUGUACUAGGCAUCCACACAAUCCAUCAAUGCAAUCAUUAAAAAGAAUAUAAAUCAGUAAUUAUUAAUUACCAACAUCUCUGUCACGAGUGACGACAACUUGGAUUCUUCUUCUCAUAAAGUACUCCGAGGUUGUCAAUAUUAUCCGCUCUAGUUAGAUUUAAAUAUUUGCACUUGUAAUAAAUACAUUUUCAAUAUUCUGAGUAAGAGCACUUUGUUCACGUCUUCCCCUGCCUUGCCAAAUCAAUUACAUUUAUAACCAAUAAAUCUUUCAAAGUCAAAGUCAACCAUAGAAGUUGCUAAACAUGAUUAAUCACCCUAAUUGCCUCAUGUAAAUUUCAAAUUUCGAAGAGUUCGAGUUUUUUUUGUAAUAAGUCAAACCUCAAGAAUGAAUGAAUAAUUGUUUAUAAGGGUAAAUUACGGUCAUUCCCAUAGGGUAAUGCUAAAUUACGAAAAAAUCCCUCAUGUUUGGAUAUUUAUAAUCAAUUAAUCAUCCCCUCAAGUCCAUCCUUGCGGUGUCAAAUUUGGAAUCUUCCAUAAUCUAGAAGAUUACGUUGAAUUUGACACCGUAAGGGUGUACGCGUAGAAGAUUCAUAGUCGAUGGAUGGUUGUAAUUAUCCAAACAUAAGUGAGUUUGUCGUAAUUUAAUCUUAACUCGGGGGUGGCCGUAACAUAAAAAAAAAAUCAUUCUAAUCAAACCUUUUAACAAGCAUUUAUGAAAAUUUACAACAUCAACCAAUUUUGGAUAGCUCAUUGACUUUACAAAAGUAAACUCCCAUGAUUCUCCAAAGAAACUUCAAAAUACAAUAUAUUAGGACAGCUCAUUUUGGGUCCUACACCAUGUACUUAGUUCUGGAUGUAACAGUUCAAAUUCAAACAUCCAAAAACACAAUGCCCUGUGUAUGCAUUUUUUUUUGGUAAUCAAAUUAAAUCAUCAUCUAGAAAGAAAAAAAAAAGAAAUGGAGAAGAUCAAAACCUGCAGAUAUGUCAUUUUGCAUCUCUUCUGUUAUUUAUGUGCCGUGAUUUUCUCAACAAAAAUGGCAGCGGCACAGAACAUCUCUGUAAGAGUAGGAGUGGUGCUAGACAUGGAUGAGUAUGGAAAGAUGGCAUUCAACUGCAUAUCAAUGGCGCUAUCGGAUUUCUACACUACACAUGAUUCUUACAACACGAGGCUGUUUCUCUACAACCGGGACUCCAACGGAGACGUCAUCGGGGCAGCUGCUGCAGGUACUCCGCCUAAAACACACACAACACACAUUCAAGAAACAAGGAAGAAACGAAAAAAAUAUAAAAAAAUUAUAAACGUAAUCAACUCAUAUAGUAAGAUUUUUUAAUUACUAUGUCAGAUGCUGUAGGAUGAAUAUUCAAUUGGGCCCAACUGCCAACUUUUCUGUUGGUUAUAACUUUCAGGCUUCAGCAGCAUUACUUGUUCUUCUAACUAUACUUCAAGCAUAAUUGGAAACUUACCCAAACAUAGUAAUCCCAAUGUAUAACAUAUUUACCCUCACCAAAAUAUUUCUUUACGGAAAUCGCAUCACAACAUUACCGAUAUUGAAGGAUAAUAGGGUAAAAGGACUAUUUUCUUCACCACGUGACAUCUUUUGAUAACGUUCAUUACUACUGACAAAUCCAGAUCAAGUGAAUUUUUUUUCCUAGAUGAGAAAUACCCUAAACGGUCAUCGCUUUUUACAUCUUAAUUUCAAAAUAAAAAGCAUACAACUAUGUUAUGUUGCCCAUGAAAUGCAGGUUUGGACCUGCUGAAGAAUAUUGAAGUGCAAGCCAUAAUAGGUCCCAUGUACUCGGUACAGGCUAAUUUCCUUAUUUCUCUUGGACAGAAAGCUCACGUUCCUAUUAUUACCUUCUCAGCCACAAGUCCUUCUCUUUCAUCACUAAGGAGUCCUUAUUUCGUUCGGGCUACUCUAAACGACUCUACGCAAGUAAACCCCAUAGUUGCAAUUAUUCAAGCCUUUAAAUGGAAAGAAGUCGUGCCAAUCUAUGAGGAUAACGAAUUCGGGGAAGGGAUUGUACCGUUUUUAAGCGAUGCCUUAGAACAGGUAAAUGUGCGCGUACCUUACAGGAGUGUCAUUCCGUCAUUAGCAACAGACGAACAAAUUGUCGAUGAGCUUAACAAGCUGAAGACUAUGCAAACAAGAGUAUUCAUCGUGCACAUGUUACGCAGUCUCGGUUCUCGCCUGUUCGCCAAAGCAGCACAACUAGGAAUGAUGAGUAAAGAUUACGCAUGGAUAAUAACAGACAGCAUCACAAACGAAUUAACUGCAAUGGAUCCUUCUCUCGUAGCAUCGAUGCUAGGAGUAAUAGGAGUAAAACCUUAUAUUCCACAGACAAAAGAGCUGGACGACUUUGCAAUUCGAUACAAAAACAAGAUUCAGCAGAGCAAUCCAAAAGCUCUAAAUCUGGACAUAUAUGGUAUAUGGGCUUAUGACUCGGCCCUUGCACUAGCCAUGGCAGUUGAAAAAGCAGAGUUAGCAAAUCUUACAUAUCAGAAGACGAACACGUCGACAAAUUCUACAGAUCUUGAAGCCUUUGGGGUAUCGUUAAGUGGACCAAAGCUCAUUCAGGCUUUAUUGAGUAUCACGUUUAGAGGCCUUGCUGGAAACUUCCAAUUAGUCGAUGGCCAACUCCAAGCACCGCCUUACGAAAUAGUCAACAUUGUUGGUCCUGGAGCUAGUGGUAUAGGAUAUUGGACAAAAGAGAAUGGAAUUGUCAACAAACUAAACUUCAGUAGUUCAAGCGCAAGCGCAUAUUCAACUUCCAAAGACAACCUCGGAUCAAUUACAUGGCCAGGCAACGAAUCAUCGCCACCUAAAGGUUGGGUGGUUCCAACAAAAACCAAGAAAAUGAGAGUAGGCGUGCCUGUAAAGGAUGGUUUCACUGAAUUCGUCCGUGUUACAUGGAAUUCCGACAAUUCUACGACAGUGGAAGGAUUCUGCAUAGAUAUUUUUGAUGCGGUGAUGAAAGCACUACCAUAUGAUGUGCCGUAUGAAUACAUUCCAUUUGCAACUCCUGAUCACAAGAUGGCUGGAGAUUAUAAUGAAAUGGCCUAUCAAGUGUACCUUGGAGUAAGUAUUUUCCCUUUUCUUAUUGAAUUUAAAAAUCAAAUACAUUUUCUAUCAGCACAAAGCAAGAUGCACUAUACUAUGCCUGAAUUCUUCUAUUCUCUGCUUAUUGAUGAAUAGAACUAUGACGCUGUGGCUGGUGACGUAACAAUUCUAGGAAAUAGGUCUCAGUACGUAGACUUCACUCUGCCUUUUAUAGAGUCUGGUGUUUCGAUGGUUGUACCGAUCCCAGAGGAUAAGAAGGGAAAUACAUGGAUAUUAGUGAAGCCAUUGACUUGGGAGUUGUGGUCAACAAUAUUCUUCUUUUUUGUUAUAAUUGGGAUUUUGGUUUGGCUUCUUGAACGCCCAGAAAAUAGAGAUUUCAGAGGGUCUCGUUGGGACCAAUUUUGCAUGAUAUUCUGGUUCAGCUUCUCCACCAUGUUCUUUGCUCACAGUAAGCUACCUUUCAUCUUUUAAACUACAGUAAGUCCUUUUUUACCAAAUAUUAAAACCUACUUAAUUAACUCUGCCAAUUUUGGCAUUGACUUUUUUUUUUUUUGGUAGAGGAGAAGGUGAAAACCAACUCCGCCAAGAUAGUGGUGAUUGCAUGGCUAUUGGCGGUAUUUAUAUUAACCCAAGGCUAUGCUUCCAGUCUUACAUCCAUGUUAACAGCCCAGCAGCUGAUAGUGAAUGAUGUUAAUGAGCUUAUAAGAAACAAGGACUAUGUAGGCUACUCGAAUACAUCGUUUGUAUAUGGAUUUCUGAAAAACCUUUUUAACGAGUCGCAACUUCGGCCUUUCAACUCAGCAGAGGAAAUGGAUGAACUUCUCUCCAAAGGGAGUGCAAAUGGUGGAAUAGCAGCUGCCUUUCAUGAGAUCCCAUAUAUAAAGAUGUUUCUAGGCAAAUACUGUUCGAAAUACAUGAUGGUCGGACCCACUUAUAAGGCUGCUGGUUUCGGAUUUGUAUGUGACCCUCUUCACUAUAUAUAUGUUUUCAUUUUUUAUUUUUAUUUUUGCUUUCUAGACUCUCUUUCUCUCUUAUUUGCAGGUUUUUCCAAUAGAUUCUCCUCUAGUACCUGAUGUUUCGAGAGAAAUUUUGAAUGUGACUGAGGUUCAAAAAAUGGUGGAUAUUGAAAAGAAGUGGUUGGGAGAUGAGUCCAAAUGUCCAGACACUGACACCAAAAGUAUUGGCCUAUCAAGCUUCAGGGUAGUCUUUAUUAUUGUAGGAACAGUUGGAAUAGCAGUGGUCAUAAAUUAUAUGAUUAGACAAGGACGUGAAAAUAAGAAUGUCCAUAAAGAUGAUCCCCCAAUUGUCCAUAAUGAUCCCCCAAUUGUCCAUAAUGAUCCCCCAAUUGUCCAUAAUGAUCCCCCAAUUAUCCAUAAUGAUCCCCCAAUUAUCCAUAAUGAUCCCCCAAUUGUCCAUAAUGAUCCCCAAUUAUCCAUAAUGAUCCCCCAAUUAUCCAUAAUGAUCCCCCAAUUAUCCAUAAUGAUCCCAAAAUUGUCGAUAAUGAUCCCACAAUUGAGAGACAGAUAUAUGAGUUAUGGCAGUCACUAAAGACUUUCAAGGAAAGACUAACACCUAAACUCUAGCACAUGUGGCUGUCAGGUUUCUGUUUACCUCAAAAUAAAGAUUGGUGUGCGACUCUUAAUUGAGGAGGUGGUAUCCUAAUUUCUAAAUCUCAUUCUACGUGUUUCGUAAUUUUUUUCCCCUUAAAUUCUCUUUCUUGAAAUAACGUGAUUAACUUCUCUUCUGAGAAUAUCUUCUUGGGACUUUGAUCGGCAAGUUCUCUUAUGUUUUGUUUCAUGUUCUAACCUUUUGCUUUUACUGUGAUUAUGAUACAUAAAUUUGAACUUUGUUUUGGUUAUGUAUAUCCUCAUAAAACUUUAUCCAAAAGUUUGCAUUUUUUAUCGAUUCCUCAUUGACUCUUGUAAGUUGUAAGGGUGUGAGAGUGAGACUAAGAAAUGUGUUCGAAAUCAUGACAUAGAAACUCAAAUUUUUGCUGUCUUGGAAAGUUCUACUCACCCCUUACAUAUUCCCACUAUAAUUCCCUCUCGUCAAACAUAUUUGGAUUCUUCUACAUUAUAGCUUUUACGAUGGAAAAACUUAAGCUAACAGUGAAAAUGAGAUGCACAAGGAAUUAAAUGUUUACUGAGGAAUGACAAUCAUUACGAGCACGACAAUGGAAGUAAGGAGAUAAUUUCUAGGAGUUCAUAUUUGGGUACCGAGUAAGAAUUUGAGUAUCCUUGUCUAACAUGUUGAGCUUCGUGCCGCACGUGCAGACGUAUCUGAUCGAGGUCUCCUUUCUCCAAUUCUUCUUCUUCUUUUUGCCAAACUCAACUACAUUUGUACACAAUGAAUCACUCAAAGUCAGUUUUACCAAUAAAAAAGGACAAAAGGAAAAAAAAUCAAAUUUACAUUAUUUACUCAGCUCUGUGAUUACAUGGAAGUUGGAAAUAAAACAGAAUCCUUCUGUGAAUCUUGAGAAUAUAUUUUGUAAUUUACGCAGAGUGUUUUACGGGCUACGAAACAUUCCAAUUUUUCAAUAACAUGCAAUAUUUAAAUUAUGUUCUAAAAUUGCGAACACUCUCUUGAGUAAUUACAAUACAAAAUACCCUAAAUUUAAUUUUAAUUUACAGGUAAUUGGAAAGGUGUAAUCUGCAAGUGGAAUGGAUUGGGAAAUGAGUAGAGAAAAGAAUGACAAGUAGACUAUGAGUGUGCUUGUCUUCACGUCUUGAGCCUUAUGGAAAGUUGACCUUUCUGGUCGAAGACUUAUUUAUAUUCUUCUUCUUGACCAAGUCAACACACACGUACACACCCAAUCAAAUUUGAACCCCGUCCUCUCCCACACCCCACAGUGAGAGAAAAAGCCACAAUACCAACCUAAGGCCUUAAUUGACGAUAAAAGGUUACCUUUAACAAAUAGUCAAUAGGAUACAAGGACUGUUGGUGACGAAACCAAUAGGUAUUUUAUAUUUUGGAAUAAAUUACAGAAACUAUUUAAGACUUGUGCUAUUUGUAAAAGUAAAAUAAAGGGAAAGAUCAUAUAACUUUUCGGAUCAGCUUAAAAAUUACCAACCAUUUUUUUCAUCAAGUUGCAUGCAUGUUGGUGAUACGUCAUUGACUUCACAAAAGUAAACUCUAUGAUUCUUUCAGCACACACCAUGCUGGAUUAUAUAUAUAUUCUGUAUUAUACACAUAGCACAGACCAUGUUUUGGGCCCUACCUAUAUUUUAACUGUGGAUGUGACAGUUGAAGACAAACCCUUCAAACAAUGGUAACCAAACAAUGAUCAUUCUCUCAAGUCUCAAACAUGCAAAAUUUAGGAAAAAAGGAUAUGGAGAAGAGAAGAAUUACCUGCAGCAAACCAAUUCUGCAUCUCUUCUUUUAUUUAUUGAUCACUUUGAAGAUUUUUCCUACAAAAAUGGCGACGGCUCAGAACAUCACUGUAAGAGUAGGGGUUGUGUUAAACAUGGAUGGUUUUGGACAGAUGUCAUUCAACUGCUUAUCAAUGGCGCUUACGGAUUUCUACUCUACGCACAAACAAUAUAGAACGAAGCUGGUUCUUACCGACCGGGACUCCAAAGACGAUGCCGUUGGAGCAGCUGCAGCAGGUACUCUGCCUAUAAAAAAACAUAUAACACACACUCAGGAAAUAAGGAAGAAGAAAUAGAGGAAACAAAAAGUUAUAAUUUGAUUUAGCCUAUUAACUAUUCAAUGAUUUUCUUAUUCUUGUUCUGAGGUCUCCCAUGUGAAACAAUGGGUCAAUCGCUUUGUCUUGUCUGAAAAUGGAUGUUAUUAAUUAAACUAGUUGGCAAUCAAGAAAUUCUAUAAAUUUCAAAUUACAAUUCUGUAGGAACAAUCCAUAAUGAUUUUUUUGGGUAUGGCAUUUUAGUCUGUCCGGGAAACAAGUUUAUGUAUAAGAAAGAGUAAACGCUCUACUACUAUAUUGUUAGUUUCUUGCUCAAGUUCAACAGAACAAGAUGUUACUAGAUAUCACAGGGCCAAAAAACACUCUUAUUUAUCUGUUCCUCACAGGCUAGUUUGCUUAAGCAUUAUACAUAUUUUUCCCAAUAAAAGCUAUAAACUUUUCCUAGUUGUAUAAGUGAGAUUUUAAAAAAAAUUUAAGCCCACAAAACUUCAAUUUUCAAGAAAGGAGGAAGAACAUUGAAAUAUUAAAAUUUUCUAAAUAUUCACUCAAGAUGUGGCUGUAUCUACUACUAUUCAGUUCUUUACAUGGAAAAAUUGUGUUGAAGUACUAGCUGAAAUAUUACCAUAUACUGGGAAAGUGCAAACAGAUUCAAGAUGCACCUUCCAGAAUGUAGGCAAUCGACUGAUGAACGUUUUGUUGCACAUGAAAUGCAGGUCUGGACCUACUGAAGAACGUUGAAGUGCAAGCAAUCAUAGGUCCCGUGUACUCAAGUCAGGCUAACUUCCUUAUUUCUCUUGGACACAAAGCUCAUGUUCCUAUUAUUACCUUCUCAGCCACAAGUCCUUCUCUUUCAUCACUUCGGAGUCCAUAUUUCAUCAGGGCUACUCUAAAAGACUCUUCACAAGUAGGCGCCAUAGUUGCAAUUAUUCAAGACUUUGGAUGGAGAGAAGUUGUGGCCGUUUAUGAGAACACUGAAUUUGGAGAAGGGAUUCUACCAUUUCUGACUGAUGCCUUAGAACAGGUAAAUGUGCGCGUACCUUAUAGGAGUGUCAUUUCACCAUCAGCAACAGAUGAUCAAAUCCUUGCAGAGCUUUACAAGUUGAUGGCUAUGCAAACCAGAGUUUUCAUCGUCCACAUGUUGAACCCUCUUGCUUCUCGCCUGUUCACCAAAGUGAAGCAACUAGGAAUGAUGAGUAAAGAUUAUGCAUGGAUAAUAACAGAUAGCAUCACAAACGAUUUAAACUCAAUGGAUCGUUCUGUCAUAGCAUCUAUGCUAGGGGUAAUAGGGGUAAAACCUUAUGUUCCACAGACAAAGGAACUGGACGACUUUACAACUCAAUACAAGAAAAAGGUUCUGCAGAGCAAUCCAAAAGCCCUUGGUGUGGACAUAUACGGGCUAUGGGCUUAUGACUCAGCCAUUGCACUAGCCAUGGCAGCAGAAAGAGUAGGGUUAGCAAAUCUUACAUAUCAAGAGACAAACAUGUCUACAAGUUCUACAGAUCUUGAAGCCUUUGGAGUAUCAUUAAGUGGACCAGAGCUGAUUCAGGCUUUAUCAAACAUCACAUUCAGAGGCCUUGCUGGAGAUUUUCGAUUGGUCGAUGGUCAACUCCAAGCGCCUCCAUACGAGAUAGUCAAUAUGGUAGGUCCAGGAGCUAGAGGCAUAGGAUAUUGGACGAAAGAGAGUGGGAUUGUUAAAGAACUGAACAUCACAAUUGCAUCCAAAAAAAACUAUGCCACUUCCAAGUCCAACCUUGGGCCCACUAUAUGGCCAGGCGACGAACCAUCUCCACCUAAAGGUUGGGUGGUUCCUACGAGAGGGAAGAAACUGAGAGUAGGAGUACCUGUAAAGGCUGGUUUCACUGAUUUCGUUCGUGUAACUUGGAAUUCCGACAAUUCUACAACAGUGGAAGGAUACUGCAUAGAUGUUUUUAAUGCAGUGAUGGCAGCACUACCAUACGGCGUGCCGUAUGAAUACAUUCCAUUUGCAACUCCUGACCACAAGAUGGCUGGUAAUUACAAUGAGUUGGUCUAUCAAGUGUACCUUGGAGUAAGUAUCUUCCUUUUUCCUAUGAAUUUAAAAACCAAACACACUUUAAUCAACAUGGAGCAAGAUGCAAUAUACUACAGCUAACGUUUUUUCCUAAUCAAUGAACAGAACUAUGACGCUGUGGCUGGAGAUGUAACAAUUCUAGUAAAUAGGUCACAGUACGUCGACUUCACUCUGCCAUAUACUGAGUCUGGUGUUUCAAUGGUUGUAAAAAUCCAAGACGAUAAGAGGAAAAAUACAUGGCUUGUUUUUAAACCACUGACUUGGCAACUGUGGAUCACAACCUUUAUCUCUUGUGUUGCGGUUGGGUUUUUGGUUUGGCUUCUUGAACGCGAGAAAAAUACAGAAUUCGGUGGGUCUACUUUGCAUCAAUUAGGCAUGAUAUUCUGGUUCGCCUUCUCCACCAUGGUCUUUGCUCACAGUAAGCCAC
rnacentral:lncRNA from 1 species